rnacentral:lncRNA from 1 species
CUUCUGUCUAAAAUCUUUCCCCAAUACUGAAAUCACCAACAUUGCCCAUGCAUCAUCUUGAAGCAAAGUUUAUUAUCUUUUUUUAUAAAAAAAACAAAAACAAAAAACAAACCUCUGGUUGUGGACUUUGUGAAUUUCAUGAUGCAUUCUUCUUAUGAAAGUUCUUCUAUUUGGAGAAAAUCAAAACUACAUUUAAGAAAAUCUCCUGAUGUUUCCCCAGAAAUCACAAAUACAAGAAUCACAAUAUGGGGGGUUGGGAAUCAUAAACAUUAAGAACAGAUACGAUGUGGAGAUUCAGAGCUUUAAGACAUUCCCUUGCUUUUGUUCCUUGUUUUUUAUUUUUUUCUAAUUUUCAUAGUUAGAUUAUCACCACUACCGCUUUUGCCACUAGCUGAUGUUCCCUGCAAACUUAUGCAGCAAACAAGGACCUAAACAUCUCAUAGAGUCAUUUUAUAUAAUCGGAACUACGCGUUCCUGCUAUAUGAAGCAUUUUCUCUCAUGACCACUGUUUGGUAGUUCAUAACGCUGCAUUUCAUAAAGGUUAAAUAAGGAGUUCCUGUUGUGGCUCAGCAGAUUAAGAACCUAACUAGUAUCCAUGAGGACGCAGGUUUGAUCCCUGGCCUCGCUCAGUGGGUUAAGGAUCCGACAUUACCGUGAGCUAUGGUGUAGGUCACAGAUGUGGCUUGGAUCCCGUGUAGCUGUGGCUGUGGUGUGGGCUGGCAGCUGCAGCUCUGAUUCGACUCCUAGCCUGGAAAUCUCCAUAUGCAGCCCUAAAAAGCAAAAAAAAAAAAAAAAAAUUAAGUUAAUUUAUUGAUGUUGUGGGUUUUUUGUUUUUUUUUUCCUUUUCCUUUUAAUAUCAUACUGUGGAGAAAAAUGAUUUUGAACUAUGGAAUUUCUGUUUACAAGAACUUUUCACUUUUACCAUCAUGUUACAAUUGAAAGGCAUCUGCAUCUUCAGUUUGCUAAUAUUUUCUUAAAAGAUCUAGUGUCCUUUUUGUACACUAAACAGAUGAAUGCACAAAUGUCUUCUAUGAAAACAUUACCCCAUAGCAUUUGUCAAGUGUAAUUCUUACUAGGUCCCUCACACUAAUAGCGUGGGCAUUAAGAAAUGCUUCCCCAUUGCGUCUACCCCUGGCAUCUCGGUUUAUAUACUCUUUCAUAACUAACUACUGAUAGUUACUAAACUUUCCUCUGAUAAUUGAGUGAUUAAAAAAUAUUUAUUUGAGAUUUUCUAAGCUGAGUAGAGACCUAGGUGGGUGAACGGCUGGUAUUCAUCCUCAAAGAUAGAAAAUCCUAGGGAAGAGAGAAAAGUGGAUGCAAUUGUAUGAAACUGACAGGAAAUGGAUGGAUGGGUCCAAGUGUGAUAAAGAAACAUUGGC